UGUAGUUUGUGAAGUUCGCGAACAUCGAGGAGGACACGCCGUCCUACCAUCGCAGCUACGACUUCUUCGUGUCUCGCUUCAGUGAGAUGUGUCACUCUGAACACGGAGACCUCGACAUCCAAAACAAGAUCCGUGUGUCGGGGAUCCGUGGUCUGCAGGGCGUGGUCAGGAAGACGGUGGACGACGAGCUGCAGGUGAACAUUUGGGAGCCACGUCACAUGGAGCAGAUUGUCCCCGCUCUGCUGGUCAACCUGCAGCAGCACACACACACCGACAGCGAGUCUCCAGCCGAGCAGACUGAGGUGUGUUUCAGGGAGCUGUUGGGCCGAGCUGCUUACGGACACAUUAGUAACGCCAUCAGACCUGUGCUGAUG